GAUGAACGCUGGCGGCGUGCCUAAUACAUGCAAGUCGAGCGAACAGACGAGGAGCUUGCUCCUCUGACGUUAGCGGCGGACGGGUGAGUAACACGUGGAUAACCUACCUAUAAGACCGGGAUAACUUCGGGAAACCGGAGCUAAUACCGGAUAAUAUAUUGAACCGCAUGGUUCAAUAGUGAAAGACGGUUUUGCUGUCACUUAUAGAUGGAUCCGCGCCGCAUUAGCUAGUUGGUAAGGUAACGGCUUACCAAGGCAACGAUGCGUAGCCGACCUGAGAGGGUGAUCGGCCACACUGGAACUGAGACACGGUCCAGACUCCUACGGGAGGCAGCAGUAGGGAAUCUUCCGCAAUGGGCGAAAGCCUGACGGAGCAACGCCGCGUGAGUGAUGAAGGUCUUCGGAUCGUAAAACUCUGUUAUUAGGGAAGAACAAAUGUGUAAGUAACUAUGCACGUCUUGACGGUACCUAAUCAGAAAGCCACGGCGAACUACGU
rnacentral:rRNA from 1 species